CCUACGGGAGGCAGCAGUGGGGAAUAUUGGACAAUGGGCGAAAGCCUGAUCCAGCAAUGCCGCGUGAGUGAUGAAGGCCUUAGGGUUGUAAAGCUCUUUUACCAGGGAUGAUAAUGACAGUACCUGGAGAAUAAGCUCCGGCUAACUCCGUGCCAGCAGCCGCGGUAAUACGGAGGGAGCUAGCGUUGUUCGGAAUUACUGGGCGUAAAGCGUACGUAGGCGGUUAUUCAAGUCAGAGGUGAAAGCCCGGGGCUCAACCCCGGAACGGCCUUUGAAACUAGAUAGCUAGAAUCUUGGAGAGGUUAGUGGAAUUCCGAGUGUAGAGGUGAAAUUCGUAGAUAUUCGGAAGAACACCAGUGGCGAAGGCGACUAACUGGACAAGUAUUGACGCUGAGGUACGAAAGCGUGGGGAGCAAACAGGAUUAGAUACCCUGGUAGUCCACGCCGUAAACGAUGAUAACUAGCUGUUCGGGCACUUGGUGCUUGAGUGGCGCAGCUAACGCAUUAAGUUAUCCGCCUGGGGAGUACGGUCGCAAGAUUAAAACUUAAAGGAAUUGACGG
rnacentral:rRNA from 1 species